UUCAUACAGAAGUGCACAAGAUUUUAAUGCAAAGCAACAUUAUAAAGUGUAUUCAUGUCUAGGGGCGUGAUGUAACUUUGUACCAAACAAAAGUUAACACAUAUUCAAAGCACUAAAUAUUGGGGGCCAUAAAUACAGCCUAUCAUUCUCUAAAUGGCAUUAUUUUGUAUCUAUUAGAAACUCGUGAUUUCUCAGUUAUUUUGCUGCGUAGAACAAUGUCCUUAAAAUGUUAGUAAAGUAAAAAACAAAAAAAAACAAAGAAAGGGACUAUCGCCUAAACAUGGUUAUAUCAAAAGGUAAAAAAAUAUAUAUAUAUUUUUUAAAAAAGGUGCUAUCGUAACAUGCUGAUAGUACCAAGGCACUCCUCCUCUUAUCCAGUUCCGGGAAACAUAGAACAUAGAAUGUGACGGCAGAUAAGAACCAUUCGGCCCAUCUAGUCUGCCCAAUUUUCUAAAAACUUUCAUUAGUCCCUAGCCUUAUCUUAUAGUUAGGAUAGCCUUAUGCCUAUCCCAUGC